rnacentral:lncRNA from 1 species
AGUAGGAUGAAAUCAAAAGUAAAAUGAAAUUACAGGGUAAAAACUGAAAAUAAAAACAAGAAAGAUUAAAAUGGAAAUGCGCGUAAAUAUCAGGGACCAAACGGAGUAAUAAAACCCUUUAUAAGGACACGUGUACAUUGCUCAGUGCGCCAGAGGGUCAGGGACGAAAUCGAAAGACAGACGAAAGUUCAGGGCUGAAUUAAAAAGACAAUAAUAUUGAACAAAAGGAGUUAAAUUAAAAGAAAAUAAAUUCCGAAGGACCAAAAUCGCAAAUAGACCCUCAGGUAUGGAAACACGCGGACCUUCAUCGGGUCGGGUCGGGUCGGCUUGAUCCAAGUCGAAACGACGCCGUUUUGGGACUAUUGAGGCCAGUCCUAAACGACGCCGUUUAAGGUGUCUAUUUAAGUUUGUUUUUUUUUAUUUCUUCAUUCUUCUCUGUUUAAAACAAAAAAAACUUCAAAACCUCUCCCCAACCCUCUCCUUUCAGGCCAAGGGGCCCGGCCGCAGGCCACCACGCCGACCGGCGCCGGUGCCGCCGUAGGCAGCGGUCAGAAGGCGAAAGGUCGGGUUUUUUUAACCCCGUUGCAAGGCCUUUCAUAGAUCAGGCUCUCCUA